AACGAACGCUGGCGGCAGGCUUAACACAUGCAAGUCUAGCGCCUCGCAAGAGUAGCGGCCGAACGGUGAGUAACGCGUUGGAACGUACCCUUAUCUUCUGAAGAGCUCUUGGAAACUGGAAGUAAUACCGAAUGUGCCCUUAGGGGGAAAGAUUUAGCGGAUAAGGAUCGGGCCGCUUUGGAUUAGCUAGUUGGUGGGGUAAAGGCUUACCAAGGCGACGAUCCAUCGCUGGUCUGAGAGGAUGCUCAGAGACAUUGGGAAUGAGACACGGCCCAAACCCCUACGCGAGGCAGCAGUGGGGAAGAUUGGACACUGAGCGCAAGCCUGAUCCAGCCAUGCCGCGUGAGUGAUGAAGGCCUUAGGGUUGUAAAGCUCUUUCACCGGAGAAGAUAAUGACGGUAUAAGGAGAAGAAGCCCCGGCGAACUUCGU
rnacentral:rRNA from 1 species